rnacentral:lncRNA from 1 species
GCCUAUCCCCUGGGGUGGAUUAGUCAUGUCCAGCAGCACACACCUAGUCUCACCUUCAGGAAGGCUGCCUGCCUGGCCUGCUGCCUGGGCCUCUCUGUUCAAAGACUGCCUGGCUAUCCUGCCCAGCCUCCCUGGUCAUCUGGGGUCCUCUGGGUGGGUGGCAUGUCCUAGAGGGUGAUGGUUGUCCUCCUCUAUGCAUACAUGUGGUGCUGCUCUGUGUGCACAGCCUGAUCACAGUGUGUUUCCUCUCUCCGUCCCUUCCGUCUUUUUCUGAGACUCCAGACCUUGCAGUGACUUUAGCCCAGGAAAACUAAUUCGCCCUGAGGAUGAACAUUUUGGCCUCUUGUGUGGGGCCACCCUGGUUGGCUUGAUCAGAUGGAGGCUGUGUCAGCUUUAGCUGACACACAGCCUCCUGAAUUCUCCUUCAGUCUCUGCUGUCCCCACAGAGUACUAAAAGUCAAAGUGGCUAGUGGACAUUCCCCCGAGUUCUUUGGUCUUCUCGUCACAUGAGAAAAUACCCUUUAAGGUUGCUGGUGAGGGACAUGCAGGCACAUUAGCCCCACUGCCAAGCCAGGUCAGGAUCUGGGAAGUGGGCAAGAAAGAUAACAUGGCUGCUAGUGAACUACAUACAGUGCCUCUCCAAGUCCCACCACCAUCACGGCCAUCCUCAUCUUUAGCUUCCUAUAAUGACAGCAGCUAUUGAGGCUAGACCAGGCAAGAACAGGCCAUAUCAUCCAAACCUUUCCAGAAACAAACCGUAAUAGGCUGUUUUUGUGUUUGGUUGAGACCUUUUGUUGUUGUUGUUGUUGUUUUAUUAUGUUUUUCCUCCCUAAAAUCUGGCCCUGGCCCUUUUUUGAUCACAAAUCUAGCAUCUCACCAGAAAACUGCCUGACAUAAAAAGCCCCAUUUUAAUGGGCUCUUUUUGUCCUUUUUUCUUUUAAAACGUGCUUUUAUGUAUUUCUGAGAGGACUGUCUCGGACACCUUGGAGCCUGUCUUCCCUGGGGCUAAGAUGAAGCUAGGUGGUGCUGUACCCCUUCCCAGACUCCAGACUUCCCUUACUCAAGGGUUACUGGCUAUCCUAGAUCUGAUACGACGGCCUUUGGGUCUCAGACUCCCUAGAAUACCCAGUGACCCCAAGAUGAUGCUGCUGAGCACAGAGACCAUUCUAAAUCCUCUGUGUAUCUAGUUUCAAGACAGCUCCUUUUGCCAAACAUACUAUUUUCAGCCGCCCUUUGGCCUGUGCCUGACGUAUUCCCAAUGAACUUGGCUUGGCUGGAAUUGGGGGAAGGGGAGGCUUCUUGCCCAGAGAUUCCCACAGGACAGUUGGGAAAGCUGUUGGCAUUAUCUUUCUGGGAAGAUUUUGCUAUCUUGGACCAAAUGAUGGCCUACAUUCCCACAGUAUCUUGGCUAUGUGCCACCCCUGCCCCUCCCAACACUCUGUCUACACGUGUGCACACAUAUAGGCAUCUUGCCCUGUCUAGUACUCUUUGCUGUCCUGAAUCCCAGCCCUGGCUGUGUGGGCCUACUGUGUGGCAGGAACACUCAGGACCUGUUGAACUUGAAAGAUCUUUAGACUUAAACUACCGAUUGUACUUGGUACGCCGGGAAUACAGCCAGAAAGGACAGUGUCCCACCUGCUCUUCCUUGUUGGUAGUUUUCUGUUCCUGGGCAAUGGGAGGAGGUCCCUUGGAAAGCCUUAGUGUACCAGCUGACUGUGGGAUCCUGUUGGGGAGCCAGCAACAACAGUGGAGGGCUUCUGUCCUCCAUUGCCCUGCCCUCAAACCUGUCUCCUUCAUUCAAGUGGGGCUGGGCUGUGGUUGAAGAAAUCAGUGUUUUAAUCAGAGUUUACAGAAAUCAUUUUACUUUGUACAAUACCAUCCUAUGUAAAGAUGAAAUUUGUGUUGGAAUAAAGAUCACACAGUAUUUGAGGCCA